ACUUGUUUCUUGGACGGGGUUAGGCGUCGAGAUUUGCUUGACUACGUAAUACGUCCAUAAUACAUGUGCACUGGCAUCUAGAAAACACGUGCCAUGUACCUAAGUGAUAAGCCCGCUGAAUGUUUUUGAGAUCUUCUAAUUUCAAGUUAACCGCCCAACUCGACCCACUACCACCACUCUCCCAACAGAAACCCUAAACUGGUUUAUACUCUGCAAAUCCAAUUCAAUUUUCUCGCCAAUUCGAUCACCACCUCUUCGCCAAUUCGUCUCUCAGAACACGGAGAAGUGCUUUUUGUUUGUGGGGAUGAACUUGUAGUACCUGUAUGAGAUCAAUUGCAUCUGAAUCUAGAAUUGCUAUAUAGUAAGGGAUGACUUAUCGCAAGAGGGUUCGAGCUACUGCUAAAACAGAUGCUAUUGGAUCAGCAUCAAAGUCGCUACCUUCACGUACCUCAUCUUUGAGUGAAGUUGCAUCACAACCAACCAAAAAGCAUGCUACUCAAUCACAACCAUCUCAGGUUCCUAAGUCUGUUAUAUUUGGACCAUUCUCUCCACCGGGUACAACUACAUCGAUGGUUGCACCUCCAUGUUCGAGUACUGCAAAAAGUGCGCAGCAAGCUAUAUGGAAAACACCACCUACUGGAUCAUCAUCAAAUUCACUCGAGGCAUCAACUAAAAAUAAAAUUUCACCUAAGAUUACUUCCAAGAUUUCAAUUCAACCUAAUAUCCCACCUUCAAAACCACUGAAAUACCCUUCUACUUCCUCCAGUCAUAUCCCACCUAAUAUGCCACCUCAUGUGCCGCCUUCUAGUCAUACUAAAACAUCAGCAGGAGAUUCUCAAUCACAACAAAAAAGUGUUCAAGAACCAAAGGAGAACUCAACAAAAUCGAAGUCCUUACGAGAAUAUCCGGAUUGGCGCAAAAAUGGCGCAAAAAUGUAGAUUUUGAUGACAAGGAAGAGGUUAUGACCAUUGAUGCUAAGGGUAAUAUUGGAGUGGCGAGUGGUCCUAUUAAGGUAAUCGAUGUCCGGAGUAACAACGGCGUCAAGUACUUUGUUGAAUUCAAUGACUUAUGUCAACCGCUUAGGAAAGGUGGACAGAUCCUGGUCAAAUUCAUUGGUAGCCUUGCAAAGAUGGAGCCUUACUGUCCAGUUGGAGAAACGGAUUAGAAAGAUGUCGAUGGGGCUUUAAAAGCUAAAUUGAUACAAGAGAUACAAGCAAGUAUAAUCUUAGUAAAUCAUCUAUUUCAAUCUGAAAUAUGAUAGUUUAAUCUGAAAUCUAAUAUGGAUUACACAUGGAACAUAUUCCUGAGAUGGAUUAUUAUGAAAUUCAAUUUUUUUUUGUCUAACUUAGAAUUAUAUAAAAACACAAGGUACCUUAUAGAAUUUCCUCUUUUUUUUCAUUCACAUUUUUACUUGUACUGUUUUCCCCUUUUCA